rnacentral:rRNA from 1 species
GAGGCAGCAGUGAGGAAUAUUGGUCAAUGGACGAGAGUCUGAACCAGCCAAGUAGCGUGCAGGAUGACGGCCCUAUGGGUUGUAAACUGCUUUUAUAAGGGAAUAAAGUGAGAGUCGUGACUCUUUUUGCAUGUACCUUAUGAAUAAGGACCGGCUAAUUCCGUGCCAGCAGCCGCGGUAAUACGGAAGGUCCGGGCGUUAUCCGGAUUUAUUGGGUUUAAAGGGAGCGUAGGCCGGAGAUUAAGCGUGUUGUGAAAUGUAGAUGCUCAACAUCUGCACUGCAGCGCGAACUGGUUUCCUUGAGUACGCACAAAGUGGGCGGAAUUCGUGGUGUAGCGGUGAAAUGCUUAGAUAUCACGAAGAACUCCGAUUGCGAAGGCAGCUCACUGGAGCGCAACUGACGCUGAAGCUCGAAAGUGCGGGUAUCGAACAGGAUUAGAUACCCUGGUAGUCCGCACGGUAAACGAUGGAUGCCCGCUGUUGGUCUGAAUAGGUCAGCGGCCAAGCGAAAGCAUUAAGCAUCCCACCUGGGGAGUACGCCGGCAACGGUGCAACUCAAAGGAAUUGACGGA